UACGAAGGGGGCUAGCGUUGCUCGGAAUCACUGGGCGUAAAGGGCGCGUAGGCGGACUCUUAAGUCAGGGGCGAAAGCCUGAGGCUCAACCUCAGAACUGCCUUUGAUACUGAGAGUCUCGAGACCGGUAGAGGUAAGUGGAACUGCGAGUGUAGAGGUGAAAUUCGUAGAUAUUCGCAAGAACACCAGUGGCGAAGGCGGCUUACUGGACCGGUUCUGACGCUGAGGCGCGAAAGCGUGGGGAGCAAACAGG
rnacentral:rRNA from 1 species